rnacentral:rRNA from 1 species
GGGCCCGCACAAGCGGUGGAGUAUGUGGUUUAAUUCGAUGCAACGCGAAGAACCUUACCAGGGUUUGACAUCCUGCGAAUCUCUUGGAAACAGGAGAGUGCCUUCGGGAACGCAGUGACAGGUGGUGCAUGGCUGUCGUCAGCUCGUGUCGUGAGAUGUUGGGUUAAGUCCCGCAACGAGCGCAACCCACGUCUUUAGUUGCCAGCAUUUAGUUGGGCACUCUAGAGAGACUGCCGGUGAUAAACCGGAGGAAGGUGUGGAUGACGUCAAGUCCUCAUGGCCCUUACGGGUUGGGCUACACACGUGCUACAAUGGUAGUGACAAUGGGUUAAUCCCAAAAAGCUAUCUCAGUUCGGAUUGCACUCUGCAACUCGAGUGCAUGAAGCUGGAUUCGCUAGUA